UAGGGGGGACGGGGCUCGGCGACCCUCCCUGAGCCUAGGGUAACUCUAAAAGUGGAGGGGAA
rfam:Tupaia chinensis contig168741, whole genome shotgun sequence.